rnacentral:rRNA from 1 species
UACGUAGGGUGCGAGCGUUGUCCGGAAUUACUGGGCGUAAAGAGCUCGUAGGUGGUUUGUCGCGUUGUUCGUGAAAACUCACAGCUUAACUGUGGGCGUGCGGGCGAUACGGGCAGACUGGAGUACUGCAGGGGAGACUGGAAUUCCUGGUGUAGCGGUGGAAUGCGCAGAUAUCAGGAGGAACACCGGUGGCGAAGGCGGAUCUCUGGGCCGAUACUGACGCUGAGGAGCGAAAGCGUGGGGAGCGAACAGG